rnacentral:rRNA from 1 species
CAGUAGCCACGGUAAUACGAAGGGGGCUAGCGUUGUUCGGAUUUACUGGGCGUAAAGGGUGCGUAGGCGGAUUGUUAAGUCAGGGGUGAAAUCCCGAGGCUCAACCUCGGAACUGCCUUUGAUACUGGCGAUCUUGAGUCCGGGAGAGGUGAGUGGAACUGCGAGUGUAGAGGUGAAAUUCGUAGAUAUUCGCAAGAACACCGGUGGCGAAGGCGGCUCACUGGCCCGGUACUGACGCUGAGGCACGAAAGCGUGGGGAGCAAACAGGAUUAGAUACCCCUGUAGUCCCUGUCUCUUAUAC